GUGAACUAUACCUUUAAUUUACAUUUAAAAUAUAUGAGUGCCGUUGCAUUGAACAGUAAAACAUAAAGUACAGGGGCGACCACCACAGUGAUUGUAGCAUACAGACACACAUACAGACAGUAGCUUGCACCUCAUGUAGGCCUACAGAUCGAAACUGUCAACGCUGUCCUCUGAUUUAUCAGUAGCAUAUAUUCCUUUCUGUUUUAUGUAGUAAUUAAAACCCCUAAUUUCAUUAUUAGUAGAGAGACAUUGUACAGACAGUUUGGAUUAAUUAACACACAAUCACGCUCUCACAAAUGCAUUUAAAUAACCUGAUGGUGCGCCCAUUGUCAGCAACCCUGUCAGAAUUCAUAUUUAAAGGGAUACAUAACCUAAAUAUGAAAAUGCUGUCAUCAUACUCACUCAGAGUUUAGAAUGUAAAAAAUUAACAACCAGGCUCAACCAGCUUAACUGGGAUUUUAUAUGUAAUGCUUUAGAGCUUAACUGAGAGCAGUUUAUGCUCUGCCUGAAAAUGACUUCAACAGUAUGAGCACAUUAGGAGAAUGUUCCUGCUCAAGGGCUCUUGAGCUUAAAUAUACUUUUAUUCAAAGCAACUUGCAUUGCAUUCCCGUAGCCUAUACAUUUUCAGUUAUUCUGGCAUUUAGAGCACCUUGCAUUACUGAUUGAACUACAGAAAUGCUCUUCCUCCUGAACUGCAGCUGCCCAAACUCAUAUGCUGUUAAUCCUAAAAAUGCAAUUGCAAUAAUGCAUAUUUUGGUUCUAAACUUUGAAUUUAAUUUUUUAUUUAUUAACUGAAAAUGGAAUUAUUAAAUUAUGCAAUUAACAGAAAUCGCAAGAAAUGUUUGCUGCCUGCAUAUUAUGUGGCAAACCUAGUUGCCCCCCCCCCAGCAAUAGCAUGUACAAGCAAAAGACAUUAAAAAGUUGACCCAUGUAUCUUCACUAUUACUCUAUUUUAGUUUCAUGAACCUGCAAAGCACAAUCAAUAUUUGAAUCAGACCGAGCUGUGAACAAACUCUGUUAUUCAUUAGUAGAGCAGUAAACACUAGUUCACCCAUCAUUUAUCCACAAGCAAUGAACGACUCUCGAUUUUUUGAUCAUCUUCUUUUCUUUUGCACACAAAACAGCGCUGUUUCAGCACAUCACUCACUGUCCAAACCUUUGAUGCACAUGCAGCGUGAGACUCCGCCCUGCGCACUCAUUAAUAUUAACACAUAAACAAAGAUCACGUUACAGCAAAGUAUUUCACAUUCAGGGAUCAGGGGGUGGAGACGGGUAGGUUUAGGGGUGGAGAUGGGUGGGUAUAGGAAUCAGGGGGUGGAGAUUUGUAGGGUAUGGGGUCGAAAUGGGUGGGUUUAGGGGUCAGAGGGUGGAGAUUGGUAG
ensembl:lncRNA